UCUAAAUUAUCUUAUUUAACCUUCAAAACAUUUAUUUAUCCUAGUAUAGGUGAUAGAACAGAUUGUACUUAGGCACAAUAACGAAAGUACCGCGAGGGAACUUUGAAAGAUCCUUAAAACAACCUGAAAGCAAUAAAAAGCAAAGAUUUAACCUUAUACCUUUUGCAUAAUGAUUUAGCCAGUCAAAUCGGACAAAAAGAAUUAAAGCCCGACUUCCCGAAAUUAAGUGAGCUAUUGUAGAACAGUUGACAGAACGAACUCGUCUAUGUGGCAAAAUAGUGAGAUGAUUUUACAAUAGGGGUGAAAAGCCUAAUCGAACUUAAUGAUAGCUGGUUGUCCAAAAAACGAAUUUAAGUUCAACUUUAAAUUUAAUAUAAGUAACAUAAAACUAAACUUAAAUUUAAAAGAUAUUCAAAAGGGGGACAUCUCUUUUGAUAUGUAAACAAACUUUUAUAGAGGAUAAUGAAUCACUCGCACAAAACAUUGUAGGCCUAAAAGCAGCCACCAAUUAAGAAAGCGUUAAAGCUCAAAUUUAUAGUAUAUUUGAUACCAAAAAUAAUUCAAAAUCCCUAUAUAAAUAUUGGACAAUUCUAUAACCAUAUAGAAGAUAUAAUGCUAAUAUGAGUAACAUGAAUUUAUUCUCCUUGCAUAAGCAUAAUUUCAGACUGGAACAUCCACUACUACUUAAUCAAAUAAAUAGUCGCACCUACAAACUAGCAUUCUAUUAUUACUAUUGUUAACCCAACUCAGGCAUGCAUUUAAAGGAAAGAUUAAAAGGAAUAAAAGGAACUCGGCAAACACAAACCCCGCCUGUUUACCAAAAACAUCACCUCUAGCAUUAACAAGUAUUAGAGGCACUGCCUGCCCGGUGAGUUAUUAACUUUAACGGCCGCGGUAUCCUGACCGUGCAAAGGUAGCAUAAUCACUUGUCUCUUAAAUGGGGACUAGUAUGAAUGGCAUCACGAGGGUUUAACUGUCUCUUAUUCCCAAUCAGUGAAAUUGACCUUCCCGUGCAGAG
rnacentral:rRNA from 1 species